CAUUUAUAGGCAUUAAUGGCUAUACAGAUCAUGAAUGGACCAUUAUUUUCUUCUCCAUGUUUCAGAUAAGGUGCAUCGUUCCCUGCUCGUGGUCCACUCGUGGAGUCAUUUCCACCAGGAAGCUUCGUCGCCACAUCCAAGUCGUAUUCCGGAGCGUAUCUCGACCACCUGCAUCGGGGGAAGGUGAGGGGCAAAACCCCACUGUAAAAAACAAAAGGCACCAUGGCCAUUUUCUCAAGCUGCCAUCUUUGACCCAGUCCGAAGAAGAAGAUCUGCCGUGGCAGAUGCAGAGAGUAAAGUCGGGGCCAAAGAAAAGCCGACAGACAACCAGCAGCCCAUCGGGCAAUCAGUCGAACCGCAAAGGGCACAUGGAGAUUGUACUGGUUUCCCACAUCAACUUGUUCAUUGUUUAUAGAUGAGGGAGGAGAAGCAGUUGAUGUCACAAGAUUGGAGAAAAGACAGCCUCUCCGACGAAACAAGGAAGUCCAAUUGUAUCUUUUAUUGUUUGUUUGACCUAAAUCGAGCACGAGGACCGGAGAGGAGAGACUUGUGUUCAUAUCCCCAUGUGGAGGGGUUUCAGCCGUAGGUCUUUUCAGGCCAGUUUGUGUUCUCGUAUCUCCUCUCGACGUUUCCAUGGCUUUCGCUCGAGCAGAUGCCCUCUCCCUCGCCUGGCUUUCCCAUUCCGUAAUGUUAGGUAUCACGUCGGUGUUGUUGACUCUUCGCACACAUCUUUCUGUGACCAGAAUCCUCCGACCUUCUCACCACCGAUCCUUAAAAGCACUGCAAGUCUAUCCAUGUCGGUAGAACUUUGACAUGUAAAAUUAGUAAUAAUGUCUUAAUCAAUCUUACUCGGUUUAAGCUAAUGUACAUAAAAAAAAUGUCAUGAAUACACACACUUG